ACGCUCGACACCUACGAGGCAGCAGUGGGGAAUAUUGCACAAUGGGGGAAACCCUGAUGCAGCGACGCCGCGUGAGCGAAGAAGUAUCUCGGUAUGUAAAGCUCUAUCAGCAGGGAAGAAGAUGACGGUACCUGACUAAGAAGCACCGGCUAAAUACGUGCCAGCAGCCGCGGUAAUCUGAGCGGGCUGGCAAGGC
rnacentral:rRNA from 1 species